AUUGAACGCUGGCGGCAUGCCUUACACACGCAAGUCGAACGGUAACAGGCCGCAAGGUGCUGACGAGUGGCGAACGGGUGAGUAAUGCAUCGGAACGUGCCCAGUCGUGGGGGAUAACUACUCGAAAGAGUAGCUAAUACCGCAUACGAUCUAUGGAUGAAAGCGGGGGACCGUAAGGCCUCGCGCGAUUGGAGCGGCCGAUGUCAGAUUAGGUAGUUGGUGGGGUAAAGGCUCACCAAGCCAACGAUCUGUAGCUGGUCUGAGAGGACGACCAGCCACACUGGGACUGAGACACGGCCCAGACUCCUACGGGAGGCAGCAGUGGGGAAUUUUGGACAAUGGGCGCAAGCCUGAUCCAGCAAUGCCGCGUGCAGGAAGAAGGCCUUCGGGUUGUAAACUGCUUUUGUACGGAACGAAACGGCUCUGGUUAAUACCCGGGGCUAAUGACGGUACCGUAAGAAUAAGCACCGGCUAACUACGUG
rnacentral:rRNA from 1 species